rnacentral:rRNA from 1 species
AAUCCAUAGGUUAAUGAGGCGAACCGGGGGAACUGAAACAUCUAAGUACCCCGAGGAAAAGAAAUCAACCGAGAUUCCCCCAGUAGCGGCGAGCGAACGGGGAGGAGCCCAGAGCCUGAAUCAGCAUGUGUGUUAGUGGAAGCGUCUGGAAAGGCGCGCGAUACAGGGUGACAGCCCCGUACACAAAAGCGCAUGUGCUGUGAGCUCGAUGAGUAGGGCGGGACACGUGGUAUCCUGUCUGAAUAUGGGGGGACCAUCCUCCAAGGCUAAAUACUCCUGACUGACCGAUAGUGAACCAGUACCGUGAGGGAAAGGCGAAAAGAACCCCGGCGAGGGGAGUGAAACAGAACCUGAAACCGUGUACGUACAAGCAGUGGGAGCCCCACCACUAAGCCAGUGGUGAACUCCACAUACGCAUCCUUUGCUGAGGAGACGGUUAACGGAGCGAAAGCGACGUUCAACCUCAAAACAAGCAGAGGGGGCUUAGUGGUGGGGUGACUGCGUACCUUUUGUAUAAUGGGUCAGCGACUUAUAUUCUGUAGCAAGGUUAACCGAAUAGGGGAGCCGGAGGGAAACCGAGUCUUAAUUGGGCGUUAAGUUGCAGGGUAUAGACCCGAAACCCGGUGAUCUAGCCAUGGGCAGGUUGAAGGUUGGGUAACACUAACUGGAGGACCGAACCGACUAAUGUUGAAAAAUUAGCGGAUGACCUGUGGCUGGGGGUGAAAGGCCAAUCAAACCGGGAGAUAGCUGGUUCUCCCCGAAAGCUAUUUAGGUAGCGCCUCGUGAAUUCAUCUCCGGGGGUAGAGCACUGUUUCGGCUAGGGGGCCAUCCCGGCUUACCAACCCGAUGCAAACUGCGAAUACCGGAGAAUGUUAUCACGGGAGACACACGGCGGGUGCUAACGUCCGUCGUGAAGAGGGAAACAACCCAGACCGCCAGCUAAGGUCCCAAAGUCAUGGUUAAGUGGGAAACGAUGUGGGAAGGCCCAGACAGCCAGGAUGUUGGCUUAGAAGCAGCCAUCAUUUAAAGAAAGCGUAAUAGCUCACUGGUCGAGUCGGCCUGCGCGGAAGAUGUAACGGGGCUAAACCAUGCACCGAAGCUGCGGCAGCGAACGUAUCACCCAAGACAACUUUGCGGAGUUGACGAUUGACGGAGCGAAGCGACGUCAAAGCGUUCAUUAAAGUCGAGUUGGCUUAGGGAUACGUUCGUUGGGUAGGGGAGCGUUCUGUAAGCCUGUGAAGGUAUGCUGUGAGGCAUGCUGGAGGUAUCAGAAGUGCGAAUGCUGACAUAAGUAACGAUAAAGCGGGUGAAAAGCCCGCUCGCCGGAAGACCAAGGGUUCCUGUCCAACGUUAAUCGGGGCAGGGUGAGUCGACCCCUAAGGCGAGGCCGAAAGGCGUAGUCGAUGGGAAACGGGUUAAUAUUCCCGUACUUGGUGUUACUGCGAAGGGGGGACGGAGAAGGCUAUGUUGGCCGGGCGACGGUUGUCCCGGUUUAAGCGUGUAGGUGUGUGUUC